UAGUUGAACAGUAAUCUCAAA
ensembl:piRNA 21ur-999 ncRNA